GACGAACGCUGGCGGCGUGCUUAACACAUGCAAGUCGAACGGAAAGGCCCUGCUUUUGUGGGGUGCUCGAGUGGCGAACGGGUGAGUAACACGUGAGUAACCUGCCCUUGACUUUGGGAUAACUUCAGGAAACUGGGGCUAAUACCGGAUAGGAGCUCCUGCUGCAUGGUGGGGGUUGGAAAGUUUCGGCGGUUGGGGAUGGACUCGCGGCUUAUCAGCUUGUUGGUGGGGUAGUGGCUUACCAAGGCUUUGACGGGUAGCCGGCCUGGGAGGGUGACCGGCCACAUUGGGACUGAGAUACGGCCCAGACGCCUACGGGAGGCAGCAGUGGAGAAUAUUGCGCAAUAGGCGGAAGCCUGAUACAGCGGCGCCGCGUGCGGGAUGACGGCCUUCGAGUUGUAAACCGCUGUCGCCUGUAACGAAGCGUGAGUGACGGUAAUGGGUAAAGAAGCACCGGCUAACUACGUG
rnacentral:rRNA from 1 species